rnacentral:rRNA from 1 species
GCAAUGCCGCGUGCAGGACGAAGGCCUUCGGGUUGUAAACUGCUUUUGUACGGAACGAAACGGCUCUCUCUAAUACAGGGGGCUAAUGACGGUACCGUAAGAAUAAGCACCGGCUAACUACGUGCCAGCAGCCGCGGUAAUACGUAGGGUGCGAGCGUUAAUCGGAAUUACUGGGCGUAAAGCGUGCGCAGGCGGUUUUGUAAGACAGAUGUGAAAUCCCCGGGCUCAACCUGGGACCUGCAUUUGUGACUGCAAAGCUAGAGUACGGCAGAGGGGGAUGGAAUUCCGCGUGUAGCAGUGAAAUGCGUAGAUAUGCGGAGGAACACCGAUGGCGAAGGCAAUCCCCUGGGCCUGUACUGACGCUCAUGCACGAAAGCGUGGGGAGCAAACAGGAUUAAAUACCCUGGUAGUCCACGCCCUAAACGAUGUCAACUGGUUGUUGGGUCUUCACUGACUCACUAACGAAGCU